UGUCUGAGAGUGCGCUGCGCUCAGGGAUGGCCACCAGGGAUAGCUUCAGCUCAUUAACUUGCAGGAAGCUCUUCAUAGGCAUCACGCUUCUCUCAUCUCCCGCGGAGGGUGCACUCGAGAUUCAAGAGAGUACAAAUGGCCAAGAAACCAUGUCCACAGUGGAAACCCGGAGGAAAAUACUUAGGAAUUAG
rnacentral:lncRNA from 1 species